UGGGGAAUAUUGCACAAUGGGCGCAAGCCUGAUGCAGCGACGCCGCGUGGGGGAUGACGGCCUUCGGGUUGUAAACUCCUUUCGCCAGGGACGAAGCGUUUUGUGACGGUACCUGGAGAAGAAGCACCGGCUAACUACGUGCCAGCAGCCGCGGUAAUACGUAGGGUGCAAGCGUUGUCCGGAAUUACUGGGCGUAAAGAGCUCGUAGGUGGUUUGUCGCGUCGUCUGUGAAAUUCCACAGCUUAACUGUGGGCGUGCAGGCGAUACGGGCUGACUUGAGUACUGUAGGGGUAACUGGAAUUCCUGGUGUAGCGGUGAAAUGCGCAGAUAUCAGGAGGAACACCGAUGGCGAAGGCGGGUUACUGGGCGGUUACUGACGCUGAGGCUCGAANGCUUGGGGGAGCAAACAGGAUUAGAUACCCUGGUAGUCCACGCCGUAAACGAUGAGUGCUAGGUGUUAGACCCUUUCCGGGGUUUAGUGCCGCAGCUAACGCAUUAGGCACUCCGCCUGGGGAGUACGACCGNCNAGGGUGG
rnacentral:rRNA from 1 species